GACGUAGGGCGCGAGCGUUGUCCGGAUUUACUGGGCGUAAAGGGCGCGUAGGCGGUCAGCACAAGUCAGUUGUGAAAUCUCCGGGCUUAACUCGGAAAGGUCAACUGAUACUGUGCGACUAGAGUGCGGAAGGGGCAACUGGAAUUCUCGGUGUAGCGGUGAAAUGCGUAGAUAUCGAGAGGAACACCUGCGGCGAAGGCGGGUUGCUGGGCUGACACUGACGCUGAUGCGCGAAAGCCAGGGGAGCGAACGGG
rnacentral:rRNA from 1 species